GGAAUCGAAGUUCUAAGAACAACAAAUCUGGGUCGAAAUUUGCUUCUGAUUCUAAAAGUGGAUCUCGAAAGAAAAUCAAAUGUCAAUGCUGUAGGAUACCAUUCCCAUUUUGUUGAACUUCAGAGUCAAGGCAGCCAUUAAUUACCAGACUCUCUCUCCAAAGGAUUUAGCAAAGUCUGCUUUCAGAAGGGGGCUGGUCGAACUUGCUGGUAUUUUUUUCUUCUGUUUGCAGAGUGCCCUAGCAAUGAAGUUCAUCAGCCUUUGGACCUUGCUCUUGUCUUCGUUGGUACAGAGUUGCAAUCUUCGGAUAUUUCUGCAAGCAAACAUGCUGAUCUAGCUCUUGUGGACUUACUCAAAGUCUCUUUUACACAAUCAAAUUUCUCCAUGGCAUUUCCCGAUAUUGCUGCAUCAGAGAAGGAUGCUAUGGAAAGUUCUUUAGUGUCAAGGAUGUCAGAGAUCUGUGGGCAGAAUUUUGGAUUCAAUAAUGUUCGUUUCUCGGAGUCAUGCUCUAUGGACAGUGAUAAUGUUCAAAAGCUUUCAGACAUGCAUUCGGUCCAUUAUUAUCUUCUUUUGAGGAUGGAGAAAAGAUCAAGUGGGGAAGCAGAUUUGGUGGUGUUCUGCCACAAAGGAUCUGAUUCUUCAAAGGAACUAGAACACCCACAUUCAGAGACUUCUUACUUCUGUCAUUUUGUCAUGUUGCUCAUGGGUAGUGUGGCUUUUGAUGUGGGAGUAUUGUAUGCAGCUUCUUGAAACAAGUUGAUGUGGUGGCAGAAGCAGAAGAAAAAAAGAGGAGCAGCAGGAGCAAGCAUUAGUCGUGGCCGAAGUGGGCAAGCAAUCAUAAAUAGUCCAAUAAACAAUGAUCCAUUUCUAGCACACUAAUGUCUUUGUCCCGGAUGCAAUGUUAAACAAUAAAUUGUCACCAAUUCAUGAUUUUGUGGAACAAUGACUAAUACGAAUUGUAUCUUGGUGGAUCCAAUGUA